rnacentral:rRNA from 1 species
UUCCGGUCGUGUAUUGGCCGUGGAGGGGUGUUGCGUUUCGGUGGAUCCGUACCGCUCGAGUUGCUGACCGCCUAAGUCAUUGCUUGAAUGCAGCCCCGAGGAGGGUGGUAGGCCCGUGUGGCGGCGCCUGUAAAAAGGUUGGAGGCAGCUUGGGCGGAGGGGUCUGUACCGUAGAGUCGGGUUGCUUAGUACUGCAGCCCUAAGUAGGUGGUAAACUCCAUCUAAGGCUAAAUAUGAGCACGAGUCCGAUAUUUGACAAGUACCGUGAGGGAAAGCUGAAAAGGACUCUGAAGAGAGAGUUCAAGAGGACGUGAAACCAUUAGAAGCUGAAACGGGUGGAACCGUGAAGGAUGAAAGAGGGGAUUCAGGUUGUGGGCGCGCUGGGCCGGGCAAGUUUGGCUGGUGAGAGAGGACCGUUGAGUAGGUUGAGAGUAGUGGCGGCUUGCCCGGCGUGAGUGUGGCCGGCGGUCUUAGUUCUCCCUCGAGUAAUGAUGGUGGCGAGCCGCUGGGCGGACCCCUGUGGCCCUUCCGGACUGGUAAGCUAGAGCCUCGGCCCUAGUUGAUGACCGGAGGGGAGACUUUGCGGGUUUGGCCGGCGGUGACUGCAAGGAGGCGG